GCAAGUCGAACGAGAAAGCCCUUCGGGGUGAGUAGAGUGGCGCACGGGUGAGUAAUGCAUGGGAACGUACCUUUAGAUGGGGAAUAACCAGUGGAAACGCUGGCUAAUACCGCAUAGUCUAGCAAUAGUAAAAGUGGCCUCUACUUGUAAGCUACUGUCUAAAGAUCGGCCCAUGUCCCAUUAGCUUGUUUGUAGGGUAAUGGCCUACCAAGGCUACGAUGGGUAGCUGGUCUGAGAGGAUGAUC
rnacentral:rRNA from 1 species